rnacentral:rRNA from 1 species
CAGUCGCCGCGGGAAUACGGAGGGCGCGAGCGUUACCCGGAUUUACUGGGCGUAAAGGGCGUGUAGGCGGCCUGGGGCGUCCCAUGUGAAAGGCCACGGCUCAACCGUGGAGGAGCGUGGGAUACGCUCAGGCUAGAGGGUGGGAGAGGGUGGUGGAAUUCCCGGAGUAGCGGUGAAAUGCGCAGAUACCGGGAGGAACGCCGAUGGCGAAGGCAGCCACCUGGUCCACUUCUGACGCUGAGGCGCGAAAGCGUGGGGAGCAAACCGGAUUAGAUACCCCUGUAGUCCCUGUCUCUUAUAC